UGAUCUUGAUGGAGGCUGCUGACUAAUCAGGGUGGUGAUUGCUGAAGCUUGGAGUGGCUGUGGCAAUUACUUAAAAGAAGACAACAAUGAAGUUUGCUGUAUUGAUUGACU